AUGUACGGUUAUAUAUAUAUAUAUAUAUAUAUGUGUGUAAUAAGCCGUCCUGGCACUCACGUAUCCCUUCCCGGUGCUGGCCGCCCUGAUGUGUCUGCAGAUGUAGAGGUUCCUGAUGAGCCCGUCGCUCUUCGCCGUGUGGACCCUGGGAGCGAAGGACAGCGUAGGUCGAUCCUCGCUGGAGGCGAACUUCAUCUGGGCCAGAUUGUGGAUGAAGAAGUUGAGUUUGGUGGCAACGCUGCCCAGACUGGACUCUAUCAACCUGAGAGGCCCAGCAGGUUGAGGAACAGGUGCGUGUGCUUCCUGAUCAGGUUGUACGCCUCGCAGCAGAGGUCCACGAAGCCGUGGAAGCGGCUCGACGGUUUGUCUCCUCCGUUGAUGACGUACGCCAUGUCGGAGGUGAACACGAAGGGGGCGCGGUCCCUGCGAGCGUCACGUGACACACAGAGGCGGUGGCAUGCAGAUUCCCAGGAUGUAGGUGGCCACGCAGCAGCCGGCACACGAGAAGAUGAAGUUCUCCACCGCCUGAGCGCAGAGUGAUUAUUGCUUAAUCACCAGUCGGCCAGCGGCCGGUCUUUGAAGGACCCGGUGACUCCGUGCUCCACCUGGAUCUUCCUCAGGGUGUCAGCCUGAGGAAUCAUCUCCACCAUACCUGGGGACAAGACACCGGUCAGUCAUACCUGGGGACAAGACACCUGUCAAUCGACAGCUCACCUCUUGUGACAUACACCGGUCUUCUUUUG
ensembl:lncRNA